rnacentral:rRNA from 1 species
AACGCGUGAAGUCGACCGCCUGGGGAGUACGGCCGCAAGGUUAAAACUCAAAGGAAUUGACGGGGACCCGCACAAGCGGUGGAUGAUGUGGAUUAAUUCGAUGCAACGCGAACAACCUUACCUACCCUUGACAUGUCCGAGAGCCUGCUGAGAGGUGGGUGUGCCCGAAAGGGAAUCGGAACACAGGCGCUGCAUGGCUGUCGUCAGCUCGUGUCGUGAGAUGUUGGGUUAAGUCCCGCAACGAGCGCAACCCUUGUCCCUAGUUGCUACGCAAGGGCACUCUAGGGAGACUGCCGGUGACAAACCGGAGGAAGGUGGGGAUGACGUCAAGUCCUCAUGGCCCUUAUGGGUAGGGCUUCACACGUCAUACAAUGGCCGGUACAGAGGGUUGCCAAAGCGCGAGCUGGAGCCAAUCCCCAUAAAAGCCGGUCGUAGUCCGGAUUGCAGUCUGCAUCUCGACUGCAUGAAGUCGGAAUCGCUAGUAAUCGCGGAUCAGCAUGUCGCGGUGAAUACGUUCCCGGGUCUUGUACACACCGCCCGUCACACCAUGGGAGUGGGUUCUACCAGAAGUAGGUAGGCUAACCGCAAGGAGGCCGCUUACCACGGUAGGAUUCAUGACUGGGGUGAAGUCGUAACAAGGUAACCAAGGG